rnacentral:rRNA from 1 species
CGAACGCUGGCGGCGUGCUUAACACAUGCAAGUCGAACGGAAAGGCCCUGCUUUUGUGGGGUGCUCGAGUGGCGAACGGGUGAGUAACACGUGAGUAACCUGCCCUUGACUUUGGGAUAACUUCAGGAAACUGGGGCUAAUACCGGAUAGGAGCUCCUGCUGCAUGGUGGGGGUUGGAAAGUUUCGGCGGUUGGGGAUGGACUCGCGGCUUAUCAGCUUGUUGGUGGGGUAGUGGCUUACCAAGGCUUUGACGGGUAGCCGGCCUGAGAGGGUGACCGGCCACAUUGGGACUGAGAUACGGCCCAGACUCCUACGGGAGGCAGCAGUGGGGAAUAUUGCACAAUGGGCGGAAGCCUGAUGCAGCAACGCCGCGUGCGGGAUGACGGCCUUCGGGUUGUAAACCGCUUUCGCCUGUGACGAAGCGUGAGUGACGGUAAUGAGUAAAGAAGCACCGGCUAACUACGUG